UCGGCGAAUGCUGGUGGAACUACAGGAAUCCAAUCCCCGAGUCGCGGGUUCGAAUCCCGCCAUCGCUUGCGAUGUAGCUCAGUCUGGUAGAGCAGGUCAUAUUUCACCCUCCCCUUGUCGCUGGGAC
rnacentral:Y_RNA from 1 species